UCGGCUAGGGGGCCAUCCCGGCUUACCAACCCGAUGCAAACUACGAAUACCGAAGAAUGUUAUCACGGGAGACACACGGCGGGUGCUAACGUCCGUCGUGAAGAGGGAAACAACCCAGACCGCCAGCUAAGGUCCCAAAGUCAUGGUUAAGUGGGAAACGAUGUGGGAAGGCACAGACAGCCAGGAUGUUGGCUUAGAAGCAGCCAUCAUUUAAAGAAAGCGUAAUAGCUCACUGGUCGAGUCGGCCUGCGCGGAAGAUGUAACGGGGCUAAACCAUGCACCGAAGCUGCGGCAGCGACRCUUAUGYGUUGUUGGGUAGGGGAGCGUUCUGUAAGCCGUYGAAGGUGUGCUGUGAGGCAUGCUGGAGGUAUCAGAAGUGCGAAUGCUGACAUAAGUAACGAUAAAGCGGGUGAAAAGCCCGCUCGCCGGAAGACCAAGGGUUCCUGUCCAACGUUAAUCGGGGCAGGGUGAGUCGACCCCUAAGGCGAGGCCGAAAGGCGUAGUCGAUGGGAAACAGGUUAAUAUUCCUGUACUUGGUGUUACUGCGAAGGGGGGACGGAGAAGGCUAUGUCAGCCGGGCGACGGUUGUCCCGGUUUAAGCAUGUAGGCGGAGGUUCCAGGUAAAUCCGGUACCUURUUAACGCUGAGGUGUGAUGACGAGGCACUACGGUGCUGAAGUGAUAAAUGCCCUGCUUCCAGGAAAAGCCUCUAAGCAUCAGGUAACACGAAAUCGUACCCCAAACCGACACAGGUGGUCAGGUAGAGAAUACCAAGGCGCUUGAGAGAACUCGGGUGAAGGAACUAGGCAAAAUGGUGCCGUAACUUCGGGAGAAGGCACGCUGAURUGUAGGUGAAGCCCCUGCGGGCGGAGCUGAAAUCAGUCGAAGAUACCAGCUGGCUGCAACUGUUUAUUAAAAACACAGCACUGUGCAAACACGAAAGUGGACGUAUACGGUGUGACGCCUGCCCGGUGCCGGAAGGUUAAUUGAUGGGGUUAGCGGCAACGCGAAGCUCUUGAUCGAAGCCCCGGUAAACGGCGGCCGUAACUAUAACGGUCCUAAGGUAGCGAAAUUCCUUGUCGGGUAAGUUCCGACCUGCACGAAUGGCGUAAUGAUGGCCAGGCUGUCUCCACCCGAGACUCAGUGAAAUUGAACUCGCUGUGAAGAUGCAGUGUACCCGCGGCAAGACGGAAAGACCCCGUGAACCUUUACUAUAGCUUGACACUGAACACUGGUCCUUGAUGUGUAGGAUAGGUGGGAGGCUUUGAAGCGUGGACGCCAGUCUGCGUGGAGCCRACCUUGAAAUACCACCCUUUAAUGGCUGGUGUUCUAACGUAGACCCGUWAYCCGGGUUGCGGACAGUGUCUGGUGGGUAGUUUGACUGGGGCGGUCUCCUCCCAAAGAGUAACGGAGGAGCACGAAGGUUGGCUAAUCCUGGUCGGACAUCAGGAGGUUAGUGCAAUGGCAUAAGCCAGCUUGACUGCGAGCGUGACGGCGCGAGCAGGUGCGAAAGCAGGUCAUAGUGAUCCGGUGGUUCUGAAUGGAAGGGCCAUCGCUCAACGGAUAAAAGGUACUCCGGGGAUAACAGGCUGAUACCGCCCAAGAGUUCAUAUCGACGGCGGUGUUUGGCACCUCGAUGUCGGCUCAUCACAUCCUGGGGCUGAAGUAGGUCCCAAGGGUAUGGCUGUUCGCCAUUUAAAGUGGUACGCGAGCUGGGUUUAGAACGUCGUGAGACAGUUCGGUCCCUAUCUGCCGUGGGCGCUGGAGAAUUGAGGGGGGCUGCUCCUAGUACGAGAGGACCGGAGUGGACGCAUCACUGGUGUUCGGGUUGUCAUGCCAAUGGCACUGCCCGGUAGCUAAAUGCGGAAGAGAUAAGUGCUGAAAGCAUCUAAGCACGAAACUUGCCCCGAGAUGAGUUCUCCCUGAGACUUUAAGUCUCCUGAAGGAACGUUGAAGACGACGACGUUGAUAGGUCGGGUGUGUAAGCGCAGCGAUGCGUUGAGCUAACCGAUACUAAUGAACCGUGAGGCUUAACCUU
rnacentral:rRNA from 1 species